CUGCUCAGGAUGAACGCUGGCGGUAUGCUUAACACAUGCAAGUCGAACGGUCUCUUCGGAGAUAGUGGCGGACGGGUGAGUAACGCGUGAGAAUCUAGCUUCAGGUCGGGGAUAACUACUGGAAACGGUGGCUAAUACCGGAUGUGCCGAAAGGUGAAAGGCUUGCUGCCUGAAGAUGAGCUCGCGUCUGAUUAGCUAGUUGGUGUGGUAAGAGCGCACCAAGGCGUCGAUCAGUAGCUGGUCUGAGAGGAUGAUCAGCCACACUGGGACUGAGACACGGCCCAGACUCCUACGGGAGGCAGCAGUGGGGAAUUUUCCGCAAUGGGCGAAAGCCUGACGGAGCAAUACCGCGUGAGGGAGGAAGGCUCUUGGGUUGUAAACCUCUUUUCUCAGGGAAUAAGAAAGUGAAGGUACCUGAGGAAUAAGCAUCGGCUAACUCCGUGCCAGCAGCCGCGGUAAUACGGAGGAUGCAAGCGUUAUCCGGAAUGAUUGGGCGUAAAGCGUCCGCAGGUGGCGAUGUAAGUCUGCUGUUAAAGAGCAAAGCUUAACUUUGUAAAAGCAGUGGAAACUACAUAGCUAGAGUACGUUCGGGGCAGAGGGAAUUCCUGGUGUAGCGGUGAAAUGCGUAGAGAUCAGGAAGAACACCGGUGGCGAAGGCGCUCUGCUAGGCCGUAACUGACACUGAGGGACGAAAGCUAGGGGAGCGAAUGGGAUUAGAUACCCCAGUAGUCCUAGCCGUAAACGAUGGAUACUAGGCGUUGCGAGUAUCAC
rnacentral:rRNA from 1 species